AGUUUUAAAAAGAUUUUUCUUAGACAAGUUCAUUCACCUGUCAUUCAAUGAAGGAAAUAACUCCAUCUUACACAAUAGAAUAAUACUAGUGGUCCCGCAGUAGUCGAAAUUCGACUAUAAUUAAUUGGAAUUACGUCAAGAACAAAAGUUUGACAAUAAAUAGUAUCUAUGCGUGUGUGCGUCAAAUACAUGAAAAUGCAGUUAAAGUCUUUUAUUGUCUGGAGUAUAAGAAUGAAAGGGUAUUGGGUUUAAGCGACAUUUCGUUGAACACGUGACAUUUAACUUGUAAAUAAAAUUGCGUUUUAUUUGGUUUUUGGAUCAACAA